GGAUGGCCACCAAACCUCAAUGGAUGGCCACCCCAACAGAUGGCCACUAAACCCCCAUGGAUGGCCACCAAACCCCCAUGGAUGGCCACCAAACCCCCAUGGAUGGCCACCAAAACUCCCAAUGAAUGGCCACCAAAGCACCAUGGAUGGCCAAGAGAACUCCCAAUGGAUGGCCACCUGAACAGAUGGCCACCAAACCCCAACAGAUGGCCACCAAAACUCCCCAUGGAUGGCCACCCCAACAGAUGGCCACCAAACCCCAACAAACGGCGACCAAACCUCAAUGGAUGGCCAACAAAACUCCCCAUGGAUGGCCACCAAACCCCAACAGACGACCACCAAGCCCCAAUGGAUGGCCCCAAACCCCAACGAAUGGCCACCAAACCCCAACGGAUGGCCACCAAACCCCAACGGAUGGCCACCAAACCCCAUGGAUGGCCACCAAACCCCAAUGGAUGGCCACCAAACCCCAACGGAUGGCCACCAAAACUUCCAAUGGAUGGCCACCCCAACAGACGACCACCAAAACCCAACAGAUGGCCACCAAACCCCAAUAGAUGGCCACCAAAACUUGCAAUGGAUGGCCACCCCAACGGAUGGCCACCAAACCCCCAUGGAUGGCCACCAAACCCCAAUGGAUGGCCACCAAAGCCCCAUGGAUGGCCAAGAGAGCUCCCAAUGGACGGCCAUCCCAGCAGAUGGCCACCAAACCCCAACAGAUGACCACCAAACCCCAAUAGAUGGCAAAGAGAGCUCCCAAUGGAUGGCCACCCCAACAGAUGGCCACCAAACCCCAAUGGACGGCCACCAAACCCCAACAGAUGGCCACCAAACCCCAACAGAAGGCCACCAAACCUCAACGGAUGGCCACCAAACCGCAAUAGAUGGCCACCAAAACUCCCAGUGGAUGGCCACCCCAACAGAUGGCCACCAAACCCCAACGGAUGACCACCAAACCCCAACGGAUGGCCNCUUAAGGUGGCACCUGAACAUCUGGAGAGCCCUGGGGGUCCUUAAGGUGGCACCUGAACAUCUCGAGACCCCCUGAAUAUUUGGAGACUCCUGGGUGUCCUUAAGGUGGCACCUGAACAUCUGGAGAGCCCUGGGGGGCCUUAAGGUGGCACCUGAACAUCUGGAGAGCCCUGUGCAUCCUUAAGGUGGCACCUGAACAUCUGGAGAGCCCUGGGGGUCCUUAAGGUGGUACCCGAACAUCUGGAGACCAACUGGGUGCCCUUAAGUUGGCACCCGAACAUCUGGAGACCCCUGGGGGUCCUUAAGGUGGCACCUGAACAUCUGGAGAGCCCCAUGUGUUCUUAAAGUGGCACCUGAACAUCUCGAGACCCCCUGAAUAUUUGGAGACCCCUGGGCGUCCUUAAGGUGGCACCUGAACAUCUGGAGACCCCUGGGCGUCCUUAAGGUGGCACCUGAACAUCUGGAGAGCCCUGGGGGUCCUUAAGGUGGCACCUGAAGAACCAGGGAACCCCCCCCCCCGUGCAUCCUUAAGGUGGCACUUGAACAUCUGAAGACACUUGUGCAUCCUUAAGGUGGCACCUGAACAUCUGGAGACCCCUGGGCAUCCUUAAGGUGGCACCUGAACAUCUGGAGAUCCCUGUGCAUCCUUAAGGUGGCACCUGAACAUCUGGAGACCCCUGGGCAUCCUUAAGGUGGUCCCUGAACAUCUGGAGAUCCCUGGGUGUUCUUAAGGUGGCACCUGAACAUCUUUAGAUCCCUGUGCAUCCUUAAGGUGGCACCUGAACAUCUGGAGAGCCCCGGGGGUCCUUAAGGUGGCACCUGAACAUCUGAAGACACUUGUGCAUCCUUAAGGUGGCACCUGAAAAUCUGGAGAGCCCCGGGUGUCCUUAAGGUGGCACCUGAACAUCUGGAGACCCCUGGGCGUCCUUAAGGUGGCACCUGAACAUCUGGAGACCCCUAUGUGUUUUUAAGGUGGCACCUGAACAUCUCGAGACCCCCUGAAUAUUUGAAGACCCCUGGGUGUCCUCAUGGUGGCACCUGAACAUCUGGAGACCCCUGUGCGUCCUUAAGGUGGC
ensembl:lncRNA